rnacentral:misc_RNA from 1 species
CCAAUAGCGUAUAUUAAAGUUGUUGCAGUUAAAAAGCUCGUAGUUGAAUUUCGGGAUUGACGUGAUGGUCAUGCCUUAAGGGGUAUGAACUGUCGCUGUUGAUUUCUCACCUUCUGGAGAAACUUGAUGUCCUUUAUUGGGUGUCUUGCGGAUCCAGGACCUUUACCUUGAAAAAAUUAGAGUGUUUAAAGCAGGCAUUUUUGCUCGAAUACAUUAGCAUGGAAUAAUAGAAUAGGAAGGCAUGGUUCUAUUUUGUUGGUUUCUAGGAUCACCGUAAUGAUUAAUAGGGAUAGUUGGGGGCAUUAGUAUUCAAUUGUCAGAGGUGAAAUUCUUGGAUUUAUUGAAGACUAACUACUGCGAAAGCAUUUGCCAAGGAUGUUUUCAUUAAUCAAGAACGAAAGUUAGGGGAUCGAAGACGAUCAGAUACCGUCGUAGUCUUAACCAUAAACUAUGCCGACUAGGAAUCAGACGAUGUUAAUUUUUUAAUGACUCGUUUGGCACCUUACG